rnacentral:rRNA from 1 species
AUCAUGAGUUCACAUGUCCGCAUGAUUAAAGGUAUUUUCCGGUAGACGAUGGGGAUGCGUUCCAUUAGAUAGUAGGCGGGGUAACGGCCCACCUAGUCAACGAUGGAUAGGGGUUCUGAGAGGAAGGUCCCCCACAUUGGAACUGAGACACGGUCCAAACUCCUACGGGAGGCAGCAGUGAGGAAUAUUGGUCAAUGGGCGAUGGCCUGAACCAGCCAAGUAGCGUGAAGGAUGACUGCCCUAUGGGUUGUAAACUUCUUUUAUAAAGGAAUAAAGUCGGGUAUGCAUGUCCGUUUGCAUGUACUUUAUGAAUAAGGAUCGGCUAACUCCGUGCCAGCAGCCGCGGUAAUACGGAGGAUCCGAGCGUUAUCCGGAUUUAUUGGGUUUAAAGGGAGCGUAGACGGAUGUUUAAGUCAGUUGUGAAAGUUUGCGGCUCAACCGUAAAAUUGCAGUUGAUACUGGAUGUCUUGAGUGCAGUUGAGGCAGGCGGAAUUCGUGGUGUAGCGGUGAAAUGCUUAGAUAUCACGAAGAACUCCGAUUG